rnacentral:rRNA from 1 species
UACGUAGGGUGCAAGCGUUGUCCGGAAUUAUUGGGCGUAAAGAGCUCGUAGGCGGUUUGUCACGUCGGAUGUGAAAACCCGGGGCUUAACCCAGAGCCUGCAUCCAAAACUAGCGAGCUAGAGUUCUGGAGGGGAUAGCGGAAUUCCUGGUGUAGCGGUGAAAUGCGUAGAUAUCAGGAGGAACACCGGUGGCGAAGGCGGUUAUCUGGACAGAAACUGACGCUGAGGCGCGAAAGCUAGGGGAGCAAACAGG